AACUCUGCAUGUAAUGGUUUGAAGAACCAUAAAACGCAUUUCAUUCACAUUACUUGUGGAUUGUUGACUCCUGAGGGAAAAAUGAACGGAGUACUUGCAAUGUAACGAUUACAAGUUUCCGACUUGGCAAACCUCGUCUAAUUUGGAAUCCGUUCUUCGUGUCAGUGAUUUUGUUCUUGAAAUUGCUAUCUAUGUGGGAUAAACCAUGAACAGAGCUUCAAGGGAUAGGAAGGUAUGUGUGGGAUAAACCAGAAUACGCUUUCUUACUCUUUCUGGGUUCUCUUGCUGGGCAUUUACUGGGAAAGGGAAGAAGUUUCGAGGUGUCCUAAAGCUCAUUCAAAUAGAUUGGGGUUAGCGCAAAUUUUUGUAGUCCAGCACUUGACAAUUGAGUAAAGGUGCUACUCCAAGAAAGCAAACUGUACCUGUGAUCAAUAAUGCUGGUAUUUGAUGGAAAUUAGGGAAAAUAUGUGGAAUGUUCAUUUACGGUUGUGAGAUUAGGGAAAUCUAAAAUUUAAUUGGCAAGGAAACAGAUCUGAAUUGGGCUGGAUCUGAAAGGAAAACGGAUUGAAAUGAUGCAGAGAGGAAAUUAAAUCCUCAUUUGGCACUUGAGUUUGAUUUUCUCCUUCUGCCAUGGUGCUUUCCUGACUUUUUUGGAAGAUCAUUUGUAUCAGGGGAUGAGUCACAUUUAAUUUACAAAUAUCAGUUGACCUUUGAACUUCUGAUCUUGCUGAUCUUGCAAAGGAAGCAAAUGAUCCAUUAUUGGAGGUGUCUUAAAGAUCAUGAAGUUAUUGCAGCUAUUGAUUUGCAGUCCAUGGCUCCAACCGGAGAUGUUAUCCAGGUUUAAUUGAUGUCGCCCAUGUUUCUAAGGAAGGAGGGAAGUUUCUUUCACAAAUAUUUAGAAGACAACGCACAAGCCUUCUAUAAUGUCAGAUUUGCUCUGUGGGAAAUUUAUAUGUUCUAUGUCCUUGCUGCAUACUCAUCAACUGUCUUUGAAAAGUGAUACAGGCGUAUUAACUGUCUUUGAAAGUACUCAGAACUUCUUCAUGAUAUCAUUUAAUUUUCACCACAAUUUUUUAUUUUCAAUCUAUAUGCCUAGAUCACUAUAACAUGCUCUUGCUGCCUGCGUCACCUUUGCAUUUGCAGCUGAAAUUAUUCUUCCCUGUGGCAACUUUAUCAAAACCAAAAAGCAGCCGCAAUUUAAGCACGGGUGAGGAUUUUGGUUUCCCCUUUUCCUACUACUCUAACUUUUGAGAGAUGAACUUUGAAUUUGGAACCUGUAUAAUUUUGACGUUACCAAGUUAAGGUAAUUUUUACACAGGAAGAGAGGUGGUUGAUCUUAUUUGUGCUAAUUUUCUCAAGGUGCUGUUUGGUACAUUGGCAUCUUGAUGUCCCAAGGAAUUGGAUACCUAUGUAUAACAUUACAAUAAUGAGAUGUACGCAACAGUUAAUAUUCUUCUACUACGUACGAGAUGUAUAACACAUAAAGUCAAUGUUUGUUCACAUUUGUUCCACUCAAACAACUGAAAAAUAGAUUUCAGGUGUUUGAAAAACCAGCAUUUCUAUAUAUCAAACGCUGCAAGUGUUUUGAGGUUAACCCUUCAGGGGCAUUUGCAGCCUGUGAAAUUUUAUUCCAUUCCUGAAGGAUUCAAAAGAUCAGCAUUGCUUGCCUGAGAAGGAUGGAAGUCCCUCUAGGAUAGAUAAUGAAGGUAAUAAGGCAACUCAGUUUCCUAUAUCAAACCUACGGAAAUUGACAGGAACAAAUUUUAAUUAUAGAUUAAUUUUCCUCAAAUACAAAUUGUUUUAUUGCUUCAAAGUUAGAUUCUUCAGCCCUUCUUGAAUGCAAUUCAAUGAGCACAAGCAUCACGUUCCAAGUAAAACGCUUUUGCUCAUUUAUCAUCCUUUCUUGUUUUCAUUGCUCUAAUCUCAGUUUUUUCAUUAGGCUAUGAUGAUUUUAUAGUGCUUGCAGAUUUUAGCGGGGGUUGAUUAGGAUGCUCCAAUAGGAUCUGUAUCCCAUUUCUUGCUUUACAGUUCCUUGGUGGCCGGUGGGCAUGAUAUCCACUACGGGCCGAGGGAACGGGAGAAAAAACUAGUCAUGGAAUCCAAGAAUUUGAAAUCUCACCUUGGAUUCUUGAUCAUGAUAGGCACUUUCUUUCUUUCUUUCUUUCUUUCUUUUUGGUAUUUUUCUCUAGUAAAAUAUGGCUAUUGGAUUGACCAUUAUUACCGUACGUGUGAACUGUAGCUCUUUCUUUUUCUGCCUGAACUAUCAUUGCCUGCCUGGUUGGCAUCUUCCUUUUUGUUACAGAGAUUUUGAAAUUCUAAAAUUCUUUACAGAUAACCGUCCAAGCUUACAACUGUUCCACUGGAUGAUGCCGAUGGCGAUACUGUUUCCUGAACGAGGUUCUUUCGACAUAAGCUGAACAAAAAGACAAGGUAUCCCGCAGAUACUGUUGCCUCCUUUAUUUCCUAUGCUUUUUCAUAUGGCAACAAACACCAGUGAUAUCGAUCCAAACCUGGAGGAACAUGACUUGCAUCGCAGGGUUGCUGGAUCAUCUAGGACAAAUUUCUCUGGUCAAAGAUUGCUGCACAACAUUAAACUUUGUUGGAUUAAGUAUAUAUUAAAUAGCUUAAGCCAAUUUGAUGGGAUUUACUUUGAGGUUAAAUUUUCUUCUUUUUGCCUAGGUUGGUACUUCAUUGGAGUUUCAGAGGCUUCAAAACCGUACCAAAUAGUAUUGAACUUCGUUGAAUGAAGUAUAUAUUAGGUUUGUCUUUUUAUCAAAAUAGCUUAAACUAAUUUGAUGGGACUUACUUUAAGGUUAUGCAGCUUUAAUUCAUUCUUCAGUUAA